UUUUGCCACAUUAACCCAGCUACUUGAGAGACACCAGGAAUGGCCUUGCUUUGAGGGAGGUUUACGGUGUCAAGAUGGAAAAGGGUCAGAGAAAAGAGAGUAGAAGAUGUAUGUGUUUUUGAGAUUAGGCAAAGGGAGAAAAGCUCUACAUCGCCAGGCAGACCCUUGUAGUUCCUGCCCACUGGACAUCUCCACAAUGGUUAUUCCAAAGAUACUACAAGCUCAAUGAUCUGAGGGAUUCCAUGAUUCUGACAUUGUAGGAUAAAAAGAAACAUGCUAAGUCUAAUUAUAGGAGUUACAGAAGUGUUUUUAAUUGCAAGAAAGAGCUAUGCAAGAACCUUUUGGAUGUUCUCUCCAUUUGCAGAAGAACGCCAGUGAACAUAGGCUUCCCUAGAUUCCUGCCCUUAUACAGUACUUCUCUCUUUCCUGUUCCAAGAGCAUGUCUCAUGAAGCCUGCAGUCUGGUACAGUCCAUCUAAAACAAUACUGUGAUUUGUCUGAGGUUUUACACAAAAAAUGUUUUACAAGAUUUUCCAGCCCACAUGAAUUAGCCCAACUUAACCACCUGAUGAUAAGAAAUUGGAAACUUUUGGUUGAAAUACAGAAAAAGGAGUUCACUUGCCACAGAUAAGAAAACUACAAAGAGAGGAACAAAAAGAUGUUUUAAGAGUUUUGAUUUGUUUUCAGAGAAGAGUUCCAUUUCUAACUUUCUCAGUGUCACGCUCACAACCUUUACUGUAAUUUCUGCAUGUGAGGCUUAGCACAGAAACAAGAUGUAACAUUUUCUUCUUUUUCUACAUGUAACCAAAAGGAGUUAAUGUUAUAAAUGAGGUCACUAAAUCAGAGUAUUAAGAUAUGGUUUAUUUUAAUGCAGUCAAAUUGUUAGGUCAAAUGGCUAGUAGAGCGUAUGAUACAAAGUAGUCAUU